UCCAACUCCCACUCGACAGUUGAUGAAAUUGCAGUUCUUUCACAUACCUCCUUUGUUCCUGAGCAGUGAGGAGUUUUCAGUUCGUUUCUAAGGUGCUAAAAGAGGAGCAGAGUGGCCUGAGCUCGGGAUGCCUCACCCAAAGCUCUAACAGGAUGUAUCUUUUAACAGGAUGGAGGUGUGAUGGUUCUCAGUGUGCUGUAGAGUCUGCUCUCCAGAAAGACAAAGGAGGCACAGAGCAGACCUGUUGAUUUUGGGGCUUCUGCUUGAAGUACAGCUCUCUGUCUCAUUCACAAGGCUUCUUUUCCUACAGCCAGGGAGAGACUGUCAUGUCUCUUCAUGGAAGGUGAAGCUCUGGACCUGCUGAUGGAGCCAUCAAAGAAGAACCAGCUCUGCUUCAGAGUGUCUUGCUGUGAUGCUCAAAUAUGCAACACUUGCUUCUCAGCACUGGCUAGGUUUGAUCCUCUGCUCCCCAAAUGCUAAUCUACAUCUGUGUCAUAGUCUGGAACAGUACAUCGGUUUCCACAGAAACAAAACACGUCAUCGGAAUGGACAGAACUUGGUGACAUCCCCGAGCGCAGACAGAAAAUGCAGUUUAGGACAGUGCCAGGGAAUACAUGGGACAGAGAACUCCAGGCUCAUGCCACUUCUGACUCCCCACUGGCCCACCAAGGCUCAGAUGGUUGACUUGCAUCAAGCUCCUCACAGACAUGGGAAUACAUUUACCCAGAAAGUAGGUCUUGUACACUCUGGUUUCUGGUAUUGUAACUAAAAACACAAGGGCUGAUGCUAUUAGCAGAUGGAUACUUUUCCUGUUCAGAGUGCUUUCAGCCUUUCAUAUUUACUGGAAAAGUGGGCAC
rnacentral:lncRNA from 1 species